rnacentral:tRNA from 1 species
CAGAGAUUAGUUUACUAAAACAGCUACCUUCGAACUAGCAAUCUCAGAAUCACUGA